rnacentral:rRNA from 1 species
UACGUAGGUGGCAAGCGUUGUCCGGAUUUAUUGGGUUUAAAGGGUGCGUAGGCGGCCCUGUAAGUCAGUGGUGAAAUACUCCAGCUUAACUGGAGGGGUGCCAUUGAUACUGCAGGGCUUGAGUGGAGUCGAAGUAGGCGGAAUUGACGGUGUAGCGGUGAAAUGCGUAGAUAUCGGGAGGAACACCUGUGGCGAAAGCGGCUCACUGGACCACAACUGACGCUGAUGCACGAAAGCUAGGGGAGCAAACAGG